AUACGUAGGUGACAAGCGUUAUCCGGAUUUACUGGGUGUAAAGGGCGUGUAGGCGGUUUGGCAAGUCAGAAGUGAAAUUCCCGGGCUUAACUUGGGCGCUGCUUCUGAAACUGCUUAACUUGAGUGCUGGAGAGGAUAGUGGAGUUCCUAGUGUAGCGGUACAAUGCGCAGAUAUUAGGAGGAACACCGGUGGCGAAGGCGGCUAUCUGGACAGUAACUGACGCUGAGGCGCGAAAGCACGGGGAGCAAACAGGAUUAGAUACCCUGGUAGUCCGUGCCGUAAACGAUGAAUACUAGGUGUAGGGGGUAUCGACUCCCUCUGUGCCGCAGUUAACACAUUAAGUAUUCCACCUGGGGAGUACGGCCGCAAGGUUGAAACUCAAAGGAAUUGACGGGG
rnacentral:rRNA from 1 species